rnacentral:lncRNA from 1 species
GGCAGAAUGUGGUAGACCUGCUAACCAAGCCUCUCAGCUAGCAAAAGACCGAAGCUCACCUUGAGAAAAUGGGUCUUAGGUAUAUGGCCAAUUGGCUUUAGGUCAAGCAGGAGUUUGUUAGAUGAGUACUUUAAAAGCUAAUUAUUGGUUGAUAUAUUUUAUAAUUUUAGAGCUUAACUUUAUAUUUAUAAUAAUUUUAUUAUUAAUAAAAGAUUUUUUAUUUUCAAUCAUGUUUAUGUAUCUAUGAUUUGUUCUAAAAAUUAACAAAGA